rnacentral:lncRNA from 1 species
ACUGCCUGACCUUGAAUUAUCUUCGGAAUUGGCAAGGAAAGGCCAUGUUCUAUUUACCCUGGUUUUAGUUUUAAGUGUAUCUUACUUAAUAUUUUCAAUAUGAGUCAGCUCCAUGUACUGUGAUGAUUUUUCAAAUAACCAGAAGUUGACUGUAGCUGGCUUUAGACAGGAAGCGUGAGUACAGAAUCCAGCUGCUUCCACCCUGGGAGCAAGUCUGGGCCGGUAGUCCUGGAUUUUCUGGCCUGAGGCCUCAGCCUCCUGGAUUACACAAGCAGAACCCUCCUGGGUCCUGCUCUUCCUGACUCUCCUCUCCUGAUGGGAGCAAGGGGCUCCCCUGUCCUGGAUGCACUCCUUGAAGCAGCUGCUCUGCCUGAUCCACCUGCCUGGGAGUCCUGGACCACAAGUGAGGUGGCAUUUCUCUGAGCACUUAAGAAGAUGACUCACCCAGAGAGGCGGACUGGGCUGGUCUCCCGCCUUGGAAAACCCUGGUGUCUGCCCUGCUGAGGCUCCGAGUUGACACUUGCGUGGCUGCGACCCUCAGCCGCGGGACAAGCGAUGACGACGUUGGAAUUGCAGGAUCUUGCUUGCAAAAGUCAUGGCGCCAACUCAAGGGCUGCAAGCCCCAACAGCUUCAGAGCCAGGCUUCAAGAAUAAGCCAGACUUGAAUAUCAAAGUCCCAAGGAAUGAAAUGAAGAAACACAUGCUGGCUUUGAACCCAGGAGGCAGCCCCAUGCCGCAGCAGCCCCAGAGGAAAAAAAUCCAGACACGAAAAGAAAAAGUAAACUCUGCGUGGGACUGCUCAUUUUAAUUUCCAGAAGAGAAAAGAGCCUUCCUGACUCAGAGACAUGUCACAGUGAAGGCUACCCAGCAACCACAGGCCUGUCUGUAACACGUGCUUUACGGAGCUGCGAGGAACAGAGAGCUGUUGACUGCCAGCAAUGUGAAGUGCACCAGACGCUGUGGACGAGGAGGAGAUUCAAGGACACUAAGUCCGGGCCAGGUCCCAAGAUGCCUUUCUCUAAUCGCUCAAGAGUUAACUGCCACCUUGAAUUACCUUGGAACGUACGGGGAGGAGCUGUUCUCGUCCUUCUCUGCCCUCCAAUGUUCAUCUAUACUCUGAGUGAAACAAAACAGAACAUGUGGCCAAAGGGGAGCCCUUGCGAGAAAAAGGCAGGGAAGGAGCAGACACAAACUC